rnacentral:rRNA from 1 species
AGACUUAGCCCACUACCGUGCAUGCUGGAUAGGGUUCCCCGCCACCCUCACCGGUCGCCGCCGCCGCCCUCACCGGUCGCCGCCGCCAUCGGUUUCCCCUACAUGGCCGGAGGAUAGGCCAUCCCGCCUGUCCAUUCCCGCCCCACCGCGAGGGAGAAGACCGACCAGUUGCGCCUCCCCGCCGGUCGCCCCCCGCCACCCCAAGGAUCAAGGUCGGCCGCGCCGGUCCCCGUCGGUCGCUGCUCCGGAUCCAGGCCGCCCACCGCCCCGCCCCCAUCAGCCCGGUCUAUUUCCCACCGGAUCCCAUCUUCGCCGCCGUCCGACGUGCCUUCUUCAAGGAGCUGCGACCCCAUGUCUCAGAGGAGCUAGCCCCGACGCCAGUGAUGCCCGAGCGACGCUCCCAAGCUAUGGUGAGCCCCUGCGCCACCGCCCUCUCUCCUCUCCUCCCCUACUCCCUCACCCAUCUCUCUCCCCCGCAGACGUACCCCGCCGCCAGGAGGCCAGGAGGCCGCCAUGGAGGCCCGUCCCNAGCUCGCCUCGCUGCUCCUCCGGUGACCCUCGCGAGCGGCGCGACCGGAUGGGGCACGAACCCUAGCGGCGCGGUCGGAUGGGUAACGGACCCUAGCGGCGUGGCCGGAUGGGGCACGGGCGCCAGCGGUGGAGCUGGUUGGGGUGCGGCGGCCAACAGGCAUGAGAUUCAAUCGUGAACGAUGAUUAAUCGGGCCAUUAAUGCCAAUCGACGCUCCGGCAGCUGGUCCUUUCCUACUCUGCUCAGUUUCGCAAACCACAGUCCAAAAGCAAGGUGAUGGGUGUUGCUUAGGUUCCAGCUCUGUUUGGUUUAAGAUUCUCUCCAGGUUGGAAUUCUAGCGACGUACUGCUUGGUAUCUUUGGUUCUUCCAGUUGAUCCAACGGCUAAUGGACAACCCAGACUGGCCGCUGCUCCUUUCCCAAUCUCCUCACUCUUGCAAACCAAUCUCCAGCAGCGAUGGGUGAUGUUCAGGUGUUCUGUUGGAUUAGAAAGUUUAGGAAUUAACCAUUUGGAAGGUGAUCCACUGGUUUCUAUGUUUCCAAUCUAUACAGUACCUCUUGCUGCUCCCCUGAGCAAUUAUUUGACCAUUCACCAAUAUUAUACUACAUACUUUGUACUCCGGUCCAAUGUUAUCCCAUGUACAGAUUUGUUCUUUGUCUAAUUUAUAGAUUCUAAUGCUUGGAUGCUCGAUACAAGGUCGAAUUCAAGCUAUGUACUGCUGGUUUCCUUUCUUUCCUCCACGGCGACCUGAUACGGCCCAUACGGGCUGCAAGGAGGCUCCAGAGUUACCACUACCAUUGGUCCUCCCUGCCAUUUGCUGAAUUAUGCUUCAUCGCAUAUUAGCCAGAAUUCGUGGCUGUUGUUCUAUAAUCGUAAUCGAUCAAGCCACUUCCCAGUGCUUAUGUAAUCUUUGUACUGGUAGGAACUAGGAAUUUGGAAAAACAAAUCAGUACUACUAAUUUACCGUGGAGCCGUGACAACAUCGUGCUUUGUUUAUUCACUUUUAAAAGUUAAACUUAAACUGGCAAAGUGGUUACUGUUUUAUUUCAUCCCUGUUAGUCAAAGCUCAUGUAAUGUGACUUGCCAAGUUUCUGUUGAAUGUAUUGUUUAAAAAGAAAGAUCCGAAGGACUGAUUAUUUGGCAUCAAAUUAAGUACUGUCCUGCAUGAACUUUGUCAUGUUUACCCUCUUCUAUAUUUUUUAUAUGCUUUACCAACUAUAUCUCCUGAUGUUAUAAGUAUUACCUUUGUAGGCUGAUACUAUUACAGUGAAGACAUAGAACAUGAAUUAUAGAAGUUAUUGAGCAAGGAGUGAGGCAGGACAAUGCUGCAAGGAGAAACAUCAGUAUGAGCUGCAAGGACAAGAUGCCCACCCAGCCUGUGCUGGCAGCAACCUGACUUCGUUGUCAACAACUUGAUGAGGACCAAAUCGACUUCAGAUUAUUUCUAGAAGAUGCUAUAUACAAAUCCUUUCUCUGCAAUUUUUUGCCUCACACAACUUUCACCCUUUUCAAGCCAACGCCGUCGGCCAGUACAACCACUUCCUCCUCCUUCAUUUAUCUCUCUCUUGCUGACUGCCUUCCUGCUUCCUUCAGGCAGAUUCAUGAUGCACACAUGAGCAAAGUCAAAUUUAAUCGCACCCAGAAGAUGGCGGCAAGCACAUUUGGCUGCCGGGACAAGAAAUAGUUUAUCCGUCACUGCCAUUUGCAUUAUCCAUGCCUGUUGAUGUGGUUGAUACUUACAGCAAGUACUCGCUCAUCCUCUCACUGAAUCUAUAGUUUUAUCUUCCUAGCUGUUUAUGGCUGAAACUGGGGAUUACGUAUUACAAGCUCGCAGUUAUGUACUGCUGGAGAAGGAAAAAUUAGUCAGUGGCUGCUGUUGAUGCUCAUGCCCUUUUGCCGGAAAUAGUAACAACAACAGCAGUCACCUUGGGUAAUUUCUCUUACCCAAUAUAUUUACAGUUGUCUCUCUAAGCUAUUUAUGUGUCAAAUUCAGGACGAGGCAAGGUAGACCUCAGAACUAUGUAUGACGUUUCUUUACUGAUGGUGUGUUGGAAUCUUUUUUAUGAAUGAAUAGUUUAUCCGUCACAGCCAUUUGCAUUAUCCAUGCCUGUUGACGUGGUUGAUACUUACAGCAAAUACUCGCCCAUCCACUCACUGAAUCUAUAGUUUUAUCUUCAUAGCAGUUUAUGGCUGAAACUGGGGAUUACGUAUUACAAGCGUGCCUCACAGUUAUGUACUGCUGGAGAAGGAAUAAUUAGUCAGUGGNNNNNNNNNNUGUUGUUGAUGGUCAUGCCCUUUUGCCGGAAAUAGUAACAACAGCAACAGUCACCUUGGUAAUUUCUCCUACCCAAUAUAUUUACAAUUGUCUCUCUAAGCUAUUUAUGGGUCAAAUUCAGGACGAGGCAAGGCAGCCUCAGAACUAUGUAUGACGUUUCUUUACUGAUGGUGUGUUGGAAUCUUUUUUAUGAAUGAACUAGAUUUCUAUGCAGCAAAAACUAUAAUAUACUGAAUCCACCAAUGAGAGUAACUACAACACGUGUUACUGGACUUCCCCUAUUAGUAAAUCCGUUUGCAUGUUAUAAUUUAUAGACUGGACUUGCUGUUGUGAGGAGUUCACACAUCCAUUGGAAUAGUUUUCCCGCUAGAGAGUCCUUGCCAAAUCUGCAUCAGAAGAUUGGAUGUUUGUUUUUUCUGCCAUGCCUAUUUUCUUGCUAUAUAUCUCAUGCGUCUUUCUAUCUAUCUUUACAAGAUUCUGAAUAUCUGCUUUUAAAAUUUGUAUCAUUUGCUGCAAACACUUUAAUUCUUCUUUCCCAUUUUGUAGAUUUGCUUCAGAUCACGGAAGCUUGGGUUGAUGGAGUGCUUGUCUUUAGUUUUUGUUUUGACUUUGUGAAACUUGCUACCUAUGAUGAAACUGUGUAAUAUUGAUGAAACUAUGUAUAUGUAUGGAUGAAACUUGCUACUAUUGGUAACAUGUGUUGGAUAUGUGUUCGAUAUAUAUGUGUUCAUGACUAUUGGUAAUAUGUGUUGAAUAUGC